rnacentral:lncRNA from 1 species
AUCCCUGGUGCCCCCAGGUCCCUGUCCCACCCCUGUCCCACCCCUGGUGCUCCCAGGUCCCCGUCCCUGUCCCCACCCUGGCCGGUGUCACACUCACACUCCACGGUGACCAGGACGCUCCUCACGGCCACCCCGUGCCGGUUGGUGGCCCUGCACACGUAGCGGCCGCCGUCGGCCCGGGUGACCACGCGGCCACGGGUGACGCCACCCUGGUGGGUGUCACCAAGGUGGGUGUCACCGUCGUGGGUGUCACCAUCGUGGGUGUCACCGUGGUGGGUGUCACCGUGGUGGGUGUCACCAUCAUGGGUGUCACCGUGGUGGGUGUCACGGAGGUGGGUGUCACUGUCAGGGGUGUCACCGUGGUGGGUGUCACCGUGGUGGGUGUCACCAAGGUGGGUGCCACCAUCAUGGGUGCCACCACCAUGAGUGCCACCAUCAUGAGUGUCACCAUGGUGGGUGUCACCGAGGUGGGUGCCACCAUCGUGGUUGCCACCAUCACGAGUGCCACCAUCGUGGGUGCCACCAUCACGAGUGUCACCAUGGUGGGUGUCACCGAGGUGGGUGCCACCAUGGUGGAUGUCACCAUCACGGGUGCCACCAUGGUGGGUGCCACCAUCGUGGGUGCCACCGAGGUGGAUGCCAUCAUCACGAGUGUCACUGUCGUGGGUGCCACCAUUAUGGGUGCCAACGUGGUGGGUGCCACUGUCGCGGGUAUCACCGAGGUGGGUGCCACCAUCGUGGGUGUCACCAUCACGAGUGCCACCAUCACGGGUGCCACCAUGGUGGGUGUCACCGAGGUGGGUGCCACCAUCGCGGGUGUCACUGUUGCGGGUGCCACCAUCAUGGGUGCCACCGUGGUGCGUGCCACCAUCGUGGUUGCCACCAUCGCGGGUGCCACCACCAUGGGUGCCACCGUGGUGCGUGCCACCAUCACGGGUAUCACCAAGGUGGAUGCCACCCUUGUGGAUGUCACCGAGGUGGUUGCCACCAUCGUGGAUGUCACCGUUGCGGGUUCCACCAUCAUGGGUUCCACCAUCGUGGAUGUCACCGUUGCGGGUUCCACCAUCAUGGGUUCCACCAUCGUGGAUGUCACCGUUGAGGGUUCCACCAUCGUGGAUGUCACCGUUGAGGUUCCCACCAUCCCAGGCGCCACCAUCGUGGAUGUCACCAUUGCGGGUCCCACCAUCACGUGUUCCACCAUCGUGGAUGUCACCGUUGCGGGUCCCACCAUCACGUGUUCCACCAUCGUGGAUGUCACCGUUGCGGGUUCCACCAUCAUGGGUUCCACCAUCAUGGAUGUCGCCGUUGCGGGUUCCACCAUCAUGGGUUCCACCAUCGUGGAUGUCACCGUUGCGGUUUCCACCAUCACGUGUUCCACCAUCGUGGAUGUCACCGUUGCGGGUUCCACCAUCAUGGGUUCCACCAUCGUGGAUGUCACCGUUGCGGGUUCCACCAUCAUGGGUUCC